CUCCUGGAAGCGGCUGGCCAGUGUGCUCGAGCACUGCUUGGCCGCCUGCAAGUUCUGCUCCACCUCACCCAGGAGGGACUUCUGGGCCUGUAACUCAGAGGCCAUGGCCUGGCGGGGCAGAGGAGGAGACGGCGGUGCUACGGCCAGGUGACAACCCCAGAGCUCCCAGAGCUCCCAGAGCCAGGUGACAACCCCCCCAAAGCCCCUGGGCCACUGGCUGUAGGAGGGUGGGCAAGGCCACAAGUAGGAAGGACCGGAGCCUUGAUCUGUACAUCCCAAACCUGAGUCACUUCUGCCAUCUUGUUUUAUUACAAUGAACAAAGCUCCGAAAAACUAACUUCUAAAAACCCUGCAGCAGGCAGCUCGUGCCCUGCACUAGAACAGCCUGCCACUAGUCGUGAGGCUGUGGCAAAAGCAAGUCGUGAGAUGGGAGUGUGAAUAAGGGGCCUCAGGUCACAGACUUGAAUGUUUCCUAUGCUCAGGCAAUGUGGGAAGGGGGCCCGUGGCAACUGCGAGGUAAGCAGGCCGAGGAGGCAGCUGCUCCUCUGCCCACUGACUUGCCCUCUGGGCUGCAGCCCAGGAUGCCAGCUCUGCUCAGCAAGAGAUACUGGGAACAUGGAUUGUUAUGUGCUUUAUGUGUUUUUUUUUGUUUGUUUGUUUUUUUUUUAAAGAGAUAGGGUCUUGCAACAUUGUCCGGACGGCUGGACUUAAACUCCAGGGCUCAAGCAAUCCCGCCCCAGCCUCCUGAAUGGCUGGUGUUACAGGCAUGUGCCGCUACACUUGCUAUUGCAGAUAUUUGAUCUUAAAAUGCUGGCACCCGAAAUCCCGUAAGUCAUACAGAUCCCGUGAAUAGCUCGGAUUUGUACUGCGGGCCUCCAUUUGUAGUUCCCAAUUUGGGCAUUCCAAACCCGGGGAGACUGGAUGCUGGUGUCCUCGUCUGUCCAGACGGGGCGGGUGGAUGUGCCUGAUGCCCUCACCUGCUCAGAGAAGGACUCCCAGGACUUGGGCCCUAGACUCACCGCCAGCUCCUGCCCCUUGCUGUCCAGGACACGGCUGCUCUCAGGCACUGUGUCAUCCUGAUUCAGAUGGUUCUCAUGUGUGGCCAGCAACUCCCAGCCCUGCUGCAGGCUCUUCUCCAGGCGGUUGGCCACAUCAACCCUGAGGACACCAGUCAGGCGUCAGGGGAUGCCCACCUGGCCCCCUGACCCCCACCCCAACCUCCAUGCUGCCUGUCUGCCACCCACUUCUCCUGGGCCAAGUCCAGCAGCUGCACGAGAUGCUUGUAUUUCCGGUUGGUGUCCUCCACCCGGGUCCUCAGCAGGGGUGUGGUGCCACUGCCUGGGAGGGCCUGGAUGAAGGCUUCGCCCUCAGCUGUGCUCCGUGUCUUCUCAGGUUCAAUCCGCAGUAGCUCGUUGGUGAUGUUCUGUGGGGACCAGGGCCCCUCAGUUUUGGACACAGCCAGGCAGCCCCUUCCCCUGAGGAUGUACCCAGGGUGGGCACAGAUUCCCACAUCAGGCACAGUGGAAGCAGCUGGAGAGGCCUGGCACACUCUGGGGCUCUGACCUGGCAUCGGGACCCCAGCCUGAGGGCUGCAUUUUUCACGAGCAUCACAGGGAACCGCUGAGGUGGACUGGACUAGUGACACCAGAAGCACCCAGGCAGCUGCUGGGCCUGUGCUGUUCUCAGCACUGCACGCGGACGCUUCUGUUUAAUCUUUGCGGCAACCCUGGGAGGUACCUUGAGGUCCUUGGCCCGCUCGGCACUGUCCUGCACAGCCCGGCCUUGCUCCAGUGGUGGCCGCAGGAUCCCUGUGAUGGCCUUCUCCUGCCGGGCCAGGUCGCUGGCCACCUUGUCCAAGCCAGCCAGCAGCUGCCGCCCCUGUAGGUCAGAGGCAUCUGUGGAGGGAGGGAGGACACAGGCAGGUGUCACAACGGGCCAGGGGUGUGAGGCCCGGGGAUGGACCUAGGCAGCCAGCCCCCUGCCAUCUCAUCCACAGCACAGACCCUGGUCCAGCCCCUCCUCCCCGGUAUCCCCAGGGCCUCAGGCAAGUGGCCCUGGCACCCACCUCUGGGAUUCUCAGUCUUCAGCACCUCAUACCGCUGCUGCAGCGUGCGUUUGCUCCCAGCUGCCUUCUGCCGCACGCUCCGGUACUGGCUGCCCAGGCUGUGAGGAUAGAAAUGAGCUGGGAACCUGGGCAGCCCACCACCCCCUGCACCCACAGAGGCGGGACUGCAGACUCUGGCUGGGCAGACACCCCAGAGGAGCCUGACAGCUCCAUAGAUGCAGACAGCAAGUGCUCACUGUGGCACUGGCCUUUCCGUGCUCCUGGGCUCAGAACUCUUCUCCCUCCUUCCCUCCUCCUCUUUCGUAGGAAGUCUUACUACCUAAAAUUGUCUGUCCAAUAAUCUCCACCAAGAUGUUACCUCUGAGGGAGCAUACACAGUAGGUGCUCAAUAAAUACUUAAUAAAUGAA